rnacentral:misc_RNA from 1 species
GGAAGUAAAGUCGUAACAAGGUCUCCGUAGGUGAACCUGCGGAGGGAUCAUUACAGAGUUCAUGCCCUACCGGGUAGAUCUCCCACCCUAUGUUAUUAUUACUUUGUCGCUUUGGCGGGCCGUUAGGCUCCGGCCCGACUACCGGCCCCGGCUGGUAAGCGCCCGCCAGAGGACCCAAAACCCUGAAUAUUAGUGUCGUCUGAGUACUAUAUAAUAGUUAAAACUUUCAACAACGGAUCUCUUGGUUCUG